AAGUCGUAACAAGGUUUCCGUAGGUGAACCUGCGGAAGGAUCAUUACCACGUUCCAAACGUACCAACCCAUGUGAACUGUUCUCUCUCUCCCAAUAUCUGAGAAUGAGCUGGAAUUGCAUGACGAGCGUGUGUGGGGCUCUCGCAAGAGAGUCGCAUGCGUCUGCCCUUAUUGUAUUGGCUUCGGCCGUACGACAGCUGGAUUUCAGACAUUGGCAACACUGUCUACUCGGGUGUCUACACCCGCUCGAGUUAGAUGGGCUUUCUAUACAAACUCUAUUCACCUAUUUUGCUAGUUGACUUUAUAUGUUGUUUAAAGCUUUCGGGCUCUAGGCACACGUUUAUUUAUUUAAACAAAAAUACAACUCUUAGCAAUGGAUGUCUCGGUUCUC
rnacentral:misc_RNA from 1 species